CUGGUUUAGCGCGCGGUCGGUCGCGUGUGUGUGUGUGUGGGGGAAACAAACGGGCACGGGCGUCGUUCGGGGCGCCGCCGUUCGCACGCGUUUCGGUAGCGCGUCCACCUCCCGGUCGUUUCGGCCCGCACGGUUCCUCCGAGGGUGCUCUUCGCCGAGUGUCCGAGGCGGCCGGUACGUUCACUGUGAAAAAAUUAGAGUGCUCAGAGCGAGCCCCGCCGGCUUGCAUACGAAAAGCAUGGAAUGAUGGAAAAUGGCCUCGUCCGCGCGUCAUCCGUCGGUCUCCGUUCACGACGAGGCAAUGAUCGAAGGGAGCGAUCGGGGCCACUCGUAUUGCGACGUUAGAGGUGAAAUUCUUGGAUCGUCGCAAGACGCACUGCAGCGACGGCGUGUGGCAAGCACGUUUUCCUCGAUCAAGAGCGAAAGUCGGAGGUUCGAAGACGAUCAGAUACCGUCGUAGUUCCGACCGUAAACGAUGCCGACUGGCGCUCCGCCGGCGUUCGCUUCGAUGACCCGGCGGGGAGCCUGCGCGGGAAACCAUAGUCGGUUCCGGGGGGAGUAUGGUUGCAAAACAGAAACUUAAAGGAAUUGACGGAAGGGCACCACCAGGAGUGGAGCCUGCGGCUUAAUUUGACCCAACACGGGAAAACUCACCCGGUCCGGACACCGGUAGGAUUGACAGAUCGAUAGCUCUUUCUCGAUUCGGUGGGUGGUGGUGCAUGGCCGUUCUUAGUUGGUGGAGCGAUCCGUCUGGUUGAUUCCGAUAACGAACGAGACUCCGGCCUGCUAACUAGCGCGUCGAUUAGUGCUUUUCCGGUAGCGAGGCGGCGCCGAAGCCGUCGUCGGUAGCUCCGCGCGCGGCCCGGGCUUGCCGUUGCCGCCGCUCUCCUUCGCGUCCGGCGCUGAGGCCGCGUCCGGUGGCAACUGCCUUUUUUGCGUCCCAUCCUCCCUCAAGGGGGGGCGGGGAUCGUCAUGGAGGCGGUCUGCACGCGGCGUGGUUGCGGCGUCGGUUGCGGAGCGGCGACGGUGACCCGGUCGGCUCGGCCCGCGCGAGCCCGGCGGCGGCACGCCGUCGCGCCCGGGCCAGUCGGUUGGCGAACGCAGCGCUUCUUAGAGGGACGGGCGGCAGAAAGCCGCACGAGGCGGAGCGAUAACAGGUCUGUGAUGCCCUUAGAUGUCCGGGGCCGCACGCGCGCUACACUGGAGGUAUCAGCGGGCGCGUCUCCCCCGG
rnacentral:rRNA from 1 species